ACUUCUGAGAGUUUGAUCCUGGCUCAGGAUGAACGCUGGCGGCGUGCCUAAGGCAUGCAAGUCGAACGAUUCACUUCGGUGAAGAGUGGCAAACGGGAGAGUAACNNNNNNNNNNNNNNNNNNNNGAGUAACACAUUGGUAACUUACCCAGAGGUCGUGAAUAACUUCGAGAAAUCGUUGCUAAUACACGAUGGUCAAGGGGGGCCUACAGGUAUUUCCCUUGUAAAGUUCAGGCGCCUCUGGAGAGGCCUAUGUCCGAUUAGCUUGUUGGUGAGGUAACGGCCCACCAAGGCUCCGAUCGGUAGCGGGUGUGAGAGCAUGACCCGUCUCACUGGGACUGAGACACUGCCCAGACACCUACGGGUGGCUGCAGUCAGGAAUCUUCCACAAUGCACGAAAGUGUGAUGGAGCGACGCCGCGUGCCGGACGAAGCCCUUUGGGGUGUAAACGGCUUUUCUGUAGGACGAAUUCGUGACGGUACUACAGGAAUAAGUGGUUGCUAACUCUGUGCCAGCAGCAGCGGUAAUACAGAGACCACAAGCGUUAUCCGGAGUUACUGGGCGUAAAGCGUCCGCAGGUGGUUGUGUGCGUCACAUGUUAAAUCUUGGAGCUCAACUUCAAGGCCGCGUGUGAUACGACACGACUUGAGGCCGGGAGAGGUGAGCGGAAUUGCUGGUGUAGGGGUAAAAUCCGUUUAUAUCAGCAAGAACACCAAAUGCGAAGGCAGCUCACUGGAACGUGCCUGACACUCAUGGACGAAAGCGUGGGGAGAGAAUCGGAUUAGAUACCCGAGUAUUCCACGCCGUAAACGAUGCACACUAGGUAUUGGGAGUCAUCGACCCUCUCAGUGCCGUUGAACCAAGGUAACCCGUUAAGUGUGCCGCCUGGGAAGUACGGUCGCAAGAUUAAAACUCAAAGGAAUAGACGGGGACCCGCACAAGCGGUGGAUCAUGUGGUUUAAUUCGAUAGCAAGCGAGAACCUUACCAAGACUUGACAUCUAGCUGCAGAACUCUGGAGACAGAGUAGCCUUCGAGGGUGCUAGACAGGUGUUGCAUGGUUGCCGUCAGCUCGUGCCGUGAGGUGUACCCUUAAGUGGGAUAACGAGCGCAACCCUCGUCCUGUGUUACAUUUCCACAGGAGACUGCCGGGGCAACCCGGAGGAAGGUGGGGACGACGUCAAAUCAGCAUGGCCCUUACGUCUUGGGCUACACACAUGGUACAAUGGCCGGUACAAAGGGCUGCCAAGUCGCGAGACGGAGCCAAUCCUUUAAAGCCGGUCCCAGUUCGGAUCGGAGGCUGCAACUCGCCUCCGUGAAGCCGGAAUCGCUAGUAAUCGUGGAUCAGCUCGCCACGGUGAAUACGUUCUCGGGUCUUGUACUCACCGCCCGUCACACCAUGGAAGUUGGUAACACCCGAACGUCGCUGAUUGGCGGCGGAAGGUGGGAUCAAUGACUGGGGUGAAGUCGUAACAAGGCAUCCGUAGCGGAAGCUGUGGAUGGAUCACCUCCUUU
rfam:Candidatus Thrbacteria bacterium RIFCSPLOWO2_02_FTLL_53_10 rifcsplowo2_02_scaffold_26507, whole genome shotgun sequence.